rnacentral:lncRNA from 1 species
GGUUGACUAUCACCUUUCAAAGAAUAUGUAUUGGGAGAGAGCCUUCAUACUUCUCAAUUAGUGAUUGUUAGAAAUCACUAAUGAUGUAUUGUAAGAUGCUUUUCAUGUCAAAGUGUUCCAAAACCCUUUGCAAGCGCACAUAUAAACAGGCAUUACUUCACCGCCAUUGAAAUGCAGCCACCUCUUGGACAAAAUGUGGCCGCUGUUUAAUAAUGCAUAGCAACAUCCAAUUCUUUCUGGUUACUGUAAAGUGUGUUCUCCAACUUUGGAAAUCUUUCCCACAAAUUCAUUAACCUCUGGUCUAUGCCAUCCUUCAUACUGAUCUACUCUGAUGGGCCACAGAUCUUGAAAAAGAGCCAGAAAAAAUGUCUCUUUUUGGACCAAAAUUUGAUUAGCAAAAAUAGCUUAUCCUUUAGGCAAAAGAAUAACUCAAUUUACAAGUAGAUUAACCUGUUCUGAAUAGGAAAAUCAAAGCUCAAUGACCACUUGUAUUGCUUUACACCUUCUGUGGUCCCCAGGGUAGUGUGAUUAUUUUUAUGGAUAAAGAGGGAAGUCAACACAGCAUACUAAAACUUACGGGAUGCAUUAGAAGAAGUGCUCACAGGGAAAUUGAUCGCUGUGCAUGCAUACAUUAAAGAAAAAUGAAAACCUCAAUGUAAUAACCUAGUCAUACACCUUAAGGAACUAGGAAAAGAGGAGCAAAUUAAACCUCAAACCAG